GAAAGAGCAGAAAAAAAAGGAAUAGAACAAC
rnacentral:rRNA from 1 species